GCAUCCCCUUGAAGCCUAAAGCAAGCUAGGAAAGCAAGGGAGGAUGUGAGAGAAGGAUUAGGGCGUAAAGUUAGAGUGAAGAUUAAGCUACAAGGAUGCAUAUCUCUUUGACUAAGUCUUGAAAUGAGCAUGGAUAUUUGUUUUAUAUGCAUAGAUAUGAGAUAUAUCAUGUCUUGGUGUGUGUCAUGAAUUUUAUUGAUGGGUUUGGUGACUUUUUAAGGUUUAAGAACCAAGUUUAGGAUGAGGGUUGCUCAAUUUGGCUCAAACCUUGAUGUUGUCGCUCAGGCCAUACUCAAUAUAGAGGGGCAAGGCUGAAGUCUGCCGAAGGCACAUUGUCACAGCAGUGGUUUGUAACACAAUUUCAACCCACCAAAUGGUUUAUAAAAAUUCUCCAAUUUUACCAGUGUGCAUGUCUGUAUGUCUUUUGCCUUGUGGUAAAUUUCAAAUUUUUUCGAGCUCUUAAGAAUAUUUUUUGAUUUAAAAAAAAUUGUUGUUCAAAUUAGAUCCAGUUUUAGUAGAUCUCUUCCAAUUGGACAUAAGUCCAGUUUUAAUUGGUGAAAACCCUUCAAACUCGAGUAUGUUGUAUUAGACUUCUUCAGCUUUCUUUAGCCACUAGCCUCACCAUUUUUGGGUGAGGAAAACGACCGCUAUGAAUUUAUGAAGUUCAGUGCUUGGGUGAGGACAACAACCACUAUGAAUUUAUGAAAUUCAGUGUUGUCCCAGUGAACUUCCCAAUAGGUUCUGUAUAGCCUACAACUUUGGGAAUGCAAGGGCCAACCUAAAUCGUUGAGUUUUGAGCCCAUUUUUAUACGGAGCACUAUUUUGUAUGUUAUGAGUCUCUGUGUCAAGUUUCAGCAUUUUGGAAAAGCCCAAGUUUGUUUUUGCAAUUUUUGUUUCAUAUGUUGAUUUGAAACCCAGUUUGAGCACUGAUUUUGAAGUAUAAAUAUCUCUUGAUCCAUAAAUCUUUUAGGGUUGAGUUCAAUUGGAGAAGUGUUAUACACUUUCUCUAGAGUCUGGAUUAACCUUUUAGGUUCCCAGUGGACUUUAGAAAUGGGAGAUGUAAAUUUUUUAAUGUAGCCAAGUGAGUUAAUGACCAAGUUCAAGUCUGGAAAGUCUGGAAUUUUCAGAUUUUACUUAGCAAGUGUCUAUCUUUGUGAGGCCAUAUUUUAUUUGUUUGAUCUCUGAUUUUCUCAAUUCAAAUUGGAAAAUGAUCCUUGCAAGUUCUAAUUUCCAGAAUGUCCUCUGGAGCCUCCAUAUUAGAGCUUUAAAGCAUAAGUAUGGUUUGUUUGAAAACAACCCCUUCAGAGAUCAAAAGUUUUUAAAUAAAAUUUAAGUGUUGAGAGUGAUCAUUUUUCAAAGAUUAUUCACUUGAGUUAAGUUGCAUAUGCAUGAUAAUUUAAAUAUGUUUUGUGCAAAGUUUUAAAGAGAAUGGGUUGAGUUAACCUAGUUAAGGCACCAAAACAAGUAAAAAAUGAGUAAAAGUACACAUAAUCUCUAGAUUUUAUUAUGUUUUAAGAACCAUAGAGUAGUUUGACCUAGAGAACCUUAGAUAGACAAUAGUUUCCGUUAUCUAUAGCAUGAGCUAAGAUUUAAUAUUCGUCUUGUAGGGGUUGAUCCACAAGACGGUUCUACAGCCUAAGCUCAGUCUCCCACACCAGAUUUUACAAGUGGGUUAUAUUUUCGAAGUAAGUUUGGGUUAGUAAUCCCACUCUUUUAAGGUUAAAGCAAAUGAAUUUUAUUUGUGAAUGCAUGCAAAGUUUUUGUUUGGUUGUUACAAAGUUAUAAGUCGGCUUCGCCUGAAAGAGUCGGGUUCACUCGAAUAAGACGAUUGGCCCUGACCCCAACAUGGGAUCAUAGUAUUGUACACAAGUAGAAGUCUAAGUAUGGGCAGAGUCGGCCGGGUCCCCCAUACCUAGCACCCAGCAAGGUAACACCAAACCCAAAGUGCGCACGUUUCAGGAGCUCAGACUCACAGUAAAAAUUGAUGAGGAUCCGGGUGCAGUGAAGGGUGAGUGGUGGUAUUGGUCAGGAACAAUACAAGCACGUCAAGAUCAUCAUUGACAAGAUUUUCUCUAGUUGGUCUCAUGUCUUUGAAUGAGUCACCUUCAGUUUCCCCUAGUUAAACUUAAUUUUUGAACAUGCCCUACGUGGCACCUAAGAACAAAUUUUAUUUUAUUGACAAUUGGAAAAUUGAGUUGUUCUUGAGUAUUCGACUUCUCUUUUUUUAUAUAGUUAUCCAAGUUUGACUGAA